rnacentral:rRNA from 1 species
CCUACGGGUGGCAGCAGUGGGGGAUAUUGCACAAUGGGGGAAACCCUGAUGCAGCGACGCCGCGUGGGUGAAGAAGCGCCUCGGCGCGUAAAGCCCUGUCAGCAGGGACGAAAAUGACGGUAGCUGAAGAAUAAGCCCCGGCUAACUACGUGCCAGCAGCCGCGGUAAUACGUAGGGGGCAGGCGUUAUCCGGAUUUACUGGGUGGAAAGGGGGAGCAGACGGCGAUGCAAGCCAGGAGUGAAAGCCCGGGGCCUAACCCCGGGACUGCUUUUGGAACUGCGUGGCUGGAGUGCAGGAGGGGCAGGCGGAAUUCCUGGUGUAGCGGUGAAAUGCGUAGAUAUCAGGAGGAACACCGGUGGCGAAGGCGGCCUGCUGGACUGCAACUGACGUUGAGGCCCGAAAGCGUGGGGAGCAAACAGGAUUAGAUACCCUUGUAGUC